GCGGGGCAGACGCUGGUGUGAGGUCGCUCCUCACCUCUCAGGCGCAGCGAUGCAAACGGAAGCUGCGGCCACGUCACUUGCUGGAAUCCUCUCUAAGAGAGGGAUAGAAGCACCAGCAAAACAAUUAAGUAAAUUAACGGCUGGGAGGAGUGCUGCUUGGGCGCAUAUGCGAACGGUUCGAGGUGGCCUCUCGUUCGAGGUGGCCUCUCGCCUCCCAGGGAAUUACGGCGCAGCAAUGGAAAUAGAAGCUGCAGCAACGCUACUCGCUGGAAUCCUCUCUAAGAGAGGGAUUGAAGUGCCAGCGAAACUGCUGAUAAAGUUAAUUAAAUUAGGACAGCGAUGGAGUCAUUUUUCUGACACACAUAUGCUGUUUUCUGUCUCGGAAUGGCGAGACUUUGGAGGGACGAUGUGGCAUAAAUUAAUCGAGGGGGAUGAAAAAGAGGAGAAGGAGAUAAAAGCCGUCCGCGAGCUGUGGAAUGCUGUGCUAGAGACUUUAAAAGCAAUGAAAGCGGAGCGGGAAGUAGCCUGUGCAGCUGCUCAAAUGUCAGGUCCGGGAGCAGCCGUCUUAAAACCUCAAGGCAAGCCUGGACCUAUUGCGCGGUUCUUCGGACUGCCCGCGGUAAAGGGAAUGACCGGGUCCACAUGUAAAACUGUUGCUGAAAUUCGAGCUAAUGAGACACCUGACUCUCCUGAGGAGGGAAAAGACUUACCGCUGAACCCCUUACAAAACUCGGAAAAAGCGGAAGUAACUGGUGCUAAGCCAAAACAGAAAAGUAAUGCACAUGCGGAAGUGCCUGCUCAGGAAACUCCAGCAGAGGAGGGGCCUGAAACACCUCCUCCCGCAACCUCCGCCUGCCGUGUACCCACCGCUGCCCCCCUCCAGACUCGUCUGGUCCGUCAACUCCGCCUCCCGACAAGAGUCGUAAACUGUCCUCAGACACCACAGAAAAAAUGUUACAGACAGUUUUAAGGCGGCUCGAGGAGUUAAACUUACGUGUGGGGAG
rnacentral:lncRNA from 1 species